GCGGCCGUAGCUCAGCCUGGAUAGAGCGCCUCCCUGCGGAGGAGGAGGUCGAAGGUUCAAAUCCUUCCGGUCGUACCA
rnacentral:tRNA from 1 species